UCAAAAUAUUUACACAUUAAUUAAGAUGGCCUCAUUUAAGCAAACUUUACUCUUUAUUGCUCUCUUUGUUGUAAUUUCAGUUAAUCUCUCUUGCGGUCCGAAUAAGAUGCAAGUGAUGGCAUUACGAGACUUACCUGUUGAUGUUGAAGUUAUGAAAGGGAAAUUACUUCGACUUGGUGAUAUUUCUACUUGUGGGAGUCCUUGUAAGAGUAGUAGUGAUUGCAAAGAAGGUGUUAUUUGUUCAAAUUGUGUUUCACUUGGAGCGUUGUUUUCUCAAUGCAUGUAAUACGAGCGUACUAUUACUGGUGAAAUAUCCUUGAGCGCUCAAUCGAUAAACUAUUAAUUACUUAAUAUCUCUUUUAUAUUUAUUCAAGCAUUUCAAAUAAUGUUGUAUUUUUAAAGUUUGUGUAAGAAAAUAAAUAUGUAACCUUAUUAAUUUUCCAUAUAUUGGGAAACUACCUACUCUAAUAGGUUGCCACUUAAAUACAUGUAUAUGUUGGGUGUUUUGUCUUUAUCCUAUGUGCAAUUCAUUAUUUAUUAAGAUAAUAUAAUUAAAAUAAUAUACCCUAGUUA